CUCAGAUGAGGCUGUCCAGCACCUUCACCUGGGCCUUGCUGUUCAGUACAGCUGCCCUGGUUUCUACUGCACAGAACAAAGGGUAUAGGGACUGCGGCGGCCUCCUCACAGACCUGUCGGGCAGGAUCUCCAACUACAUCGGACCAAAAACUGUCUGUGUCUGGACCAUCCAGAUGACCCCAGGUCUCGAUGUUGCUAUGGCAAUA